ACAUGAUGAGUCAUAUGCUGGCACCAGGCCCGAGAAGACUUGUACUCUGUAUGGUGCGGAGAUGCUGCAGACGGUCACUGUUAGUGGCCAGAAGCUCUGAC
rnacentral:snoRNA from 1 species